rnacentral:rRNA from 1 species
GACGAACGCUGGCGGCGUGCUUAACACAUGCAAGUCGAACGAUGAAAGCUGGAGCUUGCUCCGGCUGGAUUAGUGGCGAACGGGUGAGUAACACGUGAGCAAUCUGCCCUUGACUCUGGGAUAACUCCGAGAAAUCGGUGCUAAUACCGGAUAUGACCCUUGGCGGCAUCGCUGGGGGUGGAAAGUUUUUCGGUCAAGGAUGAGCUCGCGGCCUAUCAGCUUGUUGGUGGGUUAAUGGCUCACCAAGGCGACGACGGGUAGCCGGCCUGAGAGGGUGACCGGCCACACUGGAACUGAGACACGGCCCAGACUCCUACGGGAGGCAGCAGUGGGGAAUAUUGCACAAUGGGCGCAAGCCUGAUGCAGCAACGCCGCGUGGGGGAUGACGGCCUUCGGGUUGUAAACCUCUUUUAGCAGGGAAGAAGCGGAAGUGACGGUACCUGCAGAAAAAGCACCGGCUAACUACGUGCCAGCAGCCGCCGUAA